rnacentral:rRNA from 1 species
UACGUAGGUGACUAGCGUUGUCCGGAUUUACUGGGCGUAAAGAGCGCGCAGGCGGUCGUUCAAGUCGAGUGUGAAAGCCCCCGGCUCAACUGGGGAGGGUCAUUCGAUACUGAUCGACUCGAAGGCAGGAGAGGGAAGCGGAAUUCCCGGUGUAGCGGUGAAAUGCGUAGAUAUCGGAAGGAACAUCAGUGGCGAAAGCGGCUUCCUGGACCAGCACCGACGUUCAGGCACGAAAGCGUGGGGAGCAAACAGG